GGCCUUGUAUUCAUUUUGUGAUCAUAGAAUGCAAUUCUGUAGGGGUGAGUUAAUACUUAUCAAGGCCU
rnacentral:tRNA from 1 species